AUUGAACGCUGGCGGCAUGAUUUACACAUGCAAGUCGAACGGUAACAGGCCGCAAGGUGCUGACGAGUGGCGAACGGGUGAGUAAUGCAUCGGAACGUGCCCAGUCGUGGGGGAUAACUACUCGAAAGAGUAGCUAAUACCCCAUACGAUCUAUGGAUGAAAGCGGGGGACCGUAAGGCCUCGCGCGAUUGGAGCGGCCGAUGUCAGAUUAGGUAGUUGGUGGGGUAAAGGCUCACCAAGCCAACGAUCUGUAGCUGGUCUGAGAGGACGACCAGCCACACUGGGACUGAGACACGGCCCAGACUCCUACGGGAGGCAGCAGUGGGGAAUUUUGGACAAUGGGCGCAAGCCUGAUCCAGCAAUGCCGCGUGCAGGAAGAAGGCCUUCGGGUUGUAAACUGCUUUUGUACGGAACGAAACGGCUCUGGUUAAUACCCGGGGCUAAUGACGGUACCGUAAGAAUAAGCACCGGCUAACUACGUG
rnacentral:rRNA from 1 species